AUUCUGUGAUUGCCAUUCCUAUGGCAGCACAUGCUUGAGGCUCUAUCCCCAGGGUGACAGAGAUGUCUGUCCAUAUCUAUCUCCAAGGUUAGUCUGUAAAUGUGUGGUGUUAGAAAAGCAGGCUAAGUUGUGGGAUGGUUGUAGAAGGAGAAAGAAGCCCAGAGGCCAGUGCAAGCAGGCAGCCCUCAGCUUGCACAUGAUGUCCCCUCCCUGCAGGUUCCUGUCCUUGAGCCCAGGCCCUGAGGUGAGCCUAAGUGCAAGGCAGAGGUGCUGCUGAGGAAGGAGAGCCCUGUGGUGGGGAAGAGACAGCAACUGUGAGAGCCCAGCCCUUCGAAGGUGCUGUGUCCAUCCCCUGUGUGCCAGGAUUUGUCCUUCCCAAAGCUUGGGCGGAUGGAGGAGGAGGCUGUGAGGAAGAGGAAGAUGCCUUGGGCCCCCCAGGCAG